CGGACACGUCCCCCCCCCGCCGCCUAUGGGUCUUAUCAACAUCAGUGAAUGAUUGUGAGAUCAUUAAUUGCAACAAUAAUUGCCUGCAUGAUGACAGCAACAUAUCCUGUUUAAUUUAGCCUUGAUUAUACCACAGACUUAAAAUCACAUAUUUAUCAACAUAAAAAAAACCUAAUGAACAAUACCUAUUUUGAAGAAUAAUCUGGUUUAUUGUGCCUUGUUUGUGAUUUGCUCUGCUCAUUUCGAUUAUCAACUUUACAUUUGUUGUUUUUCUUAAGUUUUUAAAGAAUCUUCAUUUUAUUGUUUCCCCUCUGUAAUAGAAAUUGUAAUAUUGAGCUCAAUAGAAAGCUGCCCCCCCCCUCCCCAUUCUCGGUCACACGACUCUCGUUUAGAAAUUGAAGGAAAAAAAAACUGUUCACGCAGAGCAGGCAAGGCGCGCACACAGUACAGUGAGUGAGUGAAUCUGUGAAUGAAAUUUGCAUAUGAAUAGAAGCGAUCAAGCCUAAUCUGGGCAGUGGAUUAGAGGUGGAUAAUUUGCAUAAGAAUAGUCUAGACCGUGACAGCGCAGGCACGAGUUAAGCAUAGUAUAAAUAAAUUAGAAAUGUUUUCGGUCAAUCGUUGUAAUCUUAUACUACUACACUCGUUGAAAUAUAUCGUUUGUUUGGUUUAGUUCACAGUUCCAUUAUUAAGUUUCAAUAUAAUAGUGGAAUAUCUACCCCGGUAUCUACCUCAUUAGUCUUAUUUACUAGACUAAGCCAAAGGUGGCACGCGCUUUAUCACGAUCGAACUAUAAUUCAGUCAACAUGCAUGACGUAUCUCGCUACCAGCUGUUUCUCGUUAAUUGUGCACAUAAUUAUAUGAGAUCGGAGGAGGGCUCUCAGCCGGCCAGCCGCCCCGGAACCAACUCGCCGCAUGACGGUCCAAGCCGGUGGCAGGAACAGUGACUGGGCAGCAACCAGCUAGAUGACAAAGACAGUUUUGAUAACGUUUAGUGAUGGCAAUCAAACAACUGGCAAGUUCCGUCAAAUAGAUUUUGAGAAAGUCGCAGAUACUUUGGGGAAACCUGAAGAGGGGCUCCAGGACAUUUUGUCCACUGUGAAGGCCAUCACAGAGGACCUCUUUUAUAAUUAUUAGGACAGUAAGGACUCUGAAACUUCUUCGUUUACCGAUAGUUCAACCAGUCUUGAGAGUGAAGCAAGGGAGCCGCGGAAAAAGAAAGGAAUCUCUUAGGGGUAAUUGGCCUACUAGAAAACGAAUGGGGGUAUAAACUAUCAUAACCUACUUGCUAAGUGGAAUAAAAUAAAUACUUUAAACUUUGAUUUUAAUAGGCAUUGUAUGUCAUAAUUGAUACCUAACGAUGUAUAAAAUAACUGGUUUCAAUGUCCAGGUAUAAUGUUCUACCACAAACUAUCUAAUUUAAUAUUUCAUACUGACAACCGUAAGUACAUUAAAGAGUAUCAUACGGCC